GAUGAACGCUGGCGGCGUGCCUAAUACAUGCAAGUCGAGCGAACGGACGAGAAGCUUGCUUCUCUGAUGUUAGCGGCGGACGGGUGAGUAACACGUGGAUAACCUACCUAUAAGACUGGGAUUACUUCGGGAAACCGGGGCUAAUACCGGAUAAUAUUUUGAACCGCAUGGUUCAAAAGUGAAAGACGGUCUUGCUGUCACUUAUAGAUGGAUCCGCGCUGCAUUAGCUAGUUGGUAAGGUAACGGCUUACCAAGGCAACGAUGCAUAGCCGACCUGAGAGGGUGAUCGGCCACACUGGAACUGAGACACGGUCCAGACUCCUACGGGAGGCAGCAGUAGGGAAUCUUCCGCAAUGGGCGAAAGCCUGACGGAGCAACGCCGCGUGAGUGAUGAAGGUCUUCGGAUCGUAAAACUCUGUUAUUAGGGAAGAACAUAUGUGUAAGUAACUGUGCACAUCUUGACGGUACCUAAUCAGAAAGCCACGGCUAACUACGUG
rnacentral:rRNA from 1 species